GAAAUUAGGAUUGAAAUAAGUUUUUAUUUUGUUGGUGGAUUUUCUUAUGUACUGUGAUAUAGCUAUGUCUAAUUCCUUUGCGAAAAUAAUGCAAAAGCUUUACUCUGAUUAUUUCAUAAUAUUGAGGGUUGGAAUCUUUUGUUAAAAGUUUAGCUUUGUUAGAGAGUAAUUGCAUUGCACAAGUAUUAAGGUAUUGUGAAUAUUGUAUUUCCUUAUGCCUAGUGUCAAUGUGCAAAAAUAAACAGUGGGAUCCACUUUCCAGCUUAAACUUCAUAUGGUUUUGCUGCCAUUAAUGCCCUCACAUUGUUAACAUGUUUCCUUAAAUAUUGAGGUGUUGACACCGCCAAAAUAUUCCAACAUAUUAAUUAAAAUUAGAGGCUGCUUGCUUAACGUAAUUUGUUGGAAUAAGGUAAGUGAAUGACAUACUUCUGUUGGCAUGCUUGAAUGCAAAUGAGAUGCACUUGAUGCACAAGAAAUAUUUCAAGAGUCUAGAAAACAGUGCACAUAUUGGCAAAUUUGGAAGUUUAUAGCAUUAAUCACUUUGGGAUGUCAUCGAGUCUAGAAAUGUUUGAAUCAUACAAAUGGUUUUUAUCAUUUGUGCUUACUUUGUGUUGGUAAACUUGUCUAGGUUAAAUAUAAGGAUAACUAAAAGCAUAAGCAUAAGGAGCUUUCUUUCCUUUCCUCUUUCCUUUUUUUGUUUUUUUUUUUUAGGUGUGUCUAUGUAUUCUUUUUCUCCUGAACUUUUUCAUGGCAUCCGCUGUGCAGGAUGUCAGUAAAAUCAGAAGAUGGAAUAGAGCUAUGCAUAUUUAGGUUCAAAGACGAUGAUAAAAGCCAAGAGGUUCGUGCUGUGGAGAGGAGGAUAUUUCUAGAGACUCUUGCCAAUCAACUACCACCGGAUGCAAUUAGUUUUUCCUCAAAAUUAGCAAAGAUUGAAAGAAGCGAAUCAGGUGAAACUUCAUUGGAACUCAUGAAUGGGACAAAGCUAUCUGCAAAGAUUGUGAUUGGCUGUGAUGGAAUCCGCUCUCCAAUCGCCAAGUGGAUGUGAUUCUCAGAGCCCAAGUAUGCAGGCCAUUGUGCUUUUCGUGGGCUUGCAUUCUACCCUGAUGGACAACCAUAUGAACCAAAAGUAAACUACAUCUAUGGAAAGGGAGUGCGUGGUGGAUGUGUUCCAGUUUCUCCAACAAAAGUUUAUAGGUUCGUCUGCUUUAAUAUCUUGGCACCAGAUAUUUUCCAUGUAGGAGUUUUUGUGAAGAAUACGAUUAACUUUGUUUUCGUUACCCACAGAGAAUAAUGAGGAAAACUUUUGUUUUUAGUUCAUGUUUUUUUGAAUUGUGAACAACCUUAUGUAUUUAAAUGUUAUAUAUGUAUUAUGCAACAUUAUGUAGUGGGGCAAUUUUGCUGAUGUCUAGUUAUGAA